rnacentral:rRNA from 1 species
GAUGAACGCUGGCGGCGUGCCUAAUACAUGCAAGUCGAGCGAACAGACGAGGAGCUUGCUCCUCUGACGUCAGCGGCGGACGGGUGAGUAACACGUGGAUAACCUACCUAUAAGACUGGGAUAACUUCGGGAAACCGGAGCUAAUACCGGAUAAUAUAUUGAACCGCAUUGUUCAAUAGUGAAAGACGGUUUUGCUGUCACUUAUAGAUGGAUCCGCGCCGCAUUAGCUAGUUGGUAAGGUAACGGCUUACCAAGGCGACGAUGCGUAGCCGACCUGAGAGGGUGAUAGGCCACCCUGGAACUGAGACACGGUCCAGACUCCUACGGGAGGCAGCAGUAGGGAAUCUUCCGCAAUGGGCGAAAGCUUGACGGAGCAACGCCGCGUGAGUGAUGAAGGUCUUCGGAUCGUAAAACUCUGUUAUUAGGGAAGAACAAAUGUGUAAGUAACUAUGCACGUCUUGACGGUACCUAAUCAGAAAGCCACGGCUAACUACGUG